rnacentral:lncRNA from 1 species
ACCAGAGAAAGUCCAAGCAAUCAUGAACCAUAUAAAUGUGAAUUUUAGCUCCUACCUUUUCACAUAGCAGUUAUUUCUUUUCCAUUUCCUUGCCAAAACAAAAAUUUUACAGUCCAAACCAUAUUUUAUUUUUUGUGGUCCACAUGGUCAAUGUCUUCUCUGUAAAUCCAAGCCAGCAUCUAAAAAGAAACUUGCGAAUUUUUUCUUCAAUGAUUAGACACAAAGCUCCAAAGGAACUCAAAAUCCAAACCACCACCCAAUCCAUUGAUCACCACAUGCACUUCACUCCACCAUUGAACCACUGCUUAUCUGCAAGCCAUACUCCUCUAAAUAAUUCACACAACAGAUGUGGAGAACCUAAUUAAAAUUUGAAUGGAUUGGCUGAGUACAACUAAAAAAUGAAGGGCUUAUUUGACUAUCAAAUUAAAAUUAAGGGGUCAAUUUGGCAUUUUGCCUUUUUUACUCAAUAAAAAUCUAUUUUUUUAAUUUUUUAACACCAUCAAUUAAUGAUGGUAAUUUUGGAUUUGCCCAAAAAUAUUUGACUAUUAAUUUUUGUCAAGGACUAAUAUUACUAUUGUCCAUUAAUUAAAGACCAAACAUGAGACACUUGGCUAUAUUUCAGAUAUUAUAGGACAAAGUAUAAGUGCAAGUCAAAGUUAUAGAAGUUGGCUGAUAGCAGUUAGUUUCAGUAGUUAUAACUGCCCUCUCUUAGUGGGAAUGGGAAAAUAAAUAGAGCUGUAUAAGGUCCUGAAUUGUUCAUUCAAGAACUGAAGUCAAUGAUAACAAUCUCUCUCUCUCUCUCUCUCUCUCCCUCUCCCUCUCUCUCUCUCUUCCUUCUCUCUAUUCUCUCUCCACUUCUUUCAUCCUUCCUCUAUCCUAUUCUUCAUCACCUAACAUUUGGUAUCAGAGUUGUGUGUGUGGGUGGAACUGCCUAUAAUCUGGUUAACGGGUUGCAAGCCAUGUCCAGAUCUGUGGUAGUUACACCAGAAGCAGUCAGGAUUGCUGCAAUAGUGGAACAACUCAGAUCCUUUCAGCUGGAGAGUUGAAAGGCACUAGGAAGAAGCUCGAGAUUCUCAAAUUUGACUUCAAGAAAUUUGCAACUUGGAGUUAGAAAUGACAUGCAAAGUAUGAAGAAAGAAUUCCUGGAGACCAGAAACUCUGUUAACACCAUGGAAGCAUNNNNN